AGUUCCCACAAAACCAUCGUUGGGACAAAGUCCCAGGACCACCCCCACCCCCACUCCCCGCCGCCGCUGCCCUGCUCCGUCCAUGCUCAUGCCCAACAGCUGAAGAAUGCUGAACCACUCACCAGAGAUAAGGGCAUGUCUAAGAAGACCGUGCCCUGGUCAAGAGACUACCCUUGCUGCUGUUCUCUGGAUUCCACAGCAGCUGGGCAGCACUGAGGGAGACCAUGAGGCACUGGGUCUUCACCUAUGAAGGGCUCCCCUGGGACCGAUCUGUUCAUGGAAGGUACUCGGAGACAGCCCUGAAUCAAGAAGAAAGAGUGCUGGGAUUAAAGGCGUGCGCCACCACUGCCAGCCAAG